GAGUUUGAUCCUGGCUCAGGACGAACGCUGGCGGCGUGCCUAACACAUGCAAGUCGAACGGGGAUAUUGAUUUCGGUUGAUAUCCCAGUGGCGAACGGGUGAGUAAUGCGUGAGCAACCUGCCUUUCAGAGGGGGACAACAGUUGGAAACGACUGCUAAUACCGCAUGAUAUAUUCGGAUGGCAUCGUCUGAAUAUCAAAGAUUUAUCGCUGAAAGAUGGGCUCACGUCUGAUUAGUUAGUUGGUGAGGUAACGGCUCACCAAGACUGCGAUCAGUAGCCGGACUGAGAGGUUGAACGGCCACAUUGGGACUGAGAUACGGCCCAGACUCCUACGGGAGGCAGCAGUGGGGAAUAUUGGGCAAUGGGCGAAAGCCUGACCCAGCAACGCCGCGUGAAGGAAGAAGUAUCUCGGUAUGUAAACUUCUAUCAGCAGGGAAGAUAGUGACGGUACCUGACUAAGAAGCCCCGGCUAACUACGUGCCAGCAGCCGCGGUAAUAC
rnacentral:rRNA from 1 species